rnacentral:rRNA from 1 species
GACGAACGCUGGCGGCGUGCUUAACACAUGCAAGUCGAACGGAAAGGCCCUGCUUGCAGGGUACUCGAGUGGCGAACGGGUGAGUAACACGUGGGUGAUCUGCCCUGCACUUCGGGAUAAGCCUGGGAAACUGGGUCUAAUACCGGAUAGGAGCCAUUUUUAGUGUGAUGGUUGGAAAGUUUUUUCGGUGUAGGAUGAGCUCGCGGCCUAUCAGCUUGUUGGUGGGGUAAUGGCCUACCAAGGCGGCGACGGGUAGCCGGCCUGAGAGGGUGGACGGCCACAUUGGGAAUGAGAUACGGCCCAGACUCCUACGGGAGGCAGCAGUGGGGAAUAUUGCACAAUGGGCGCAAGCCUGAUGCAGCGACGCCGCGUGGGGGAUGACGGCCUUCGGGUUGUAAAAUCCUUUCGCUAGGGACGAAGCUUUUUGUGACGGUACCUAGAUAAGAAGCACCGGCUAACUACGUG